ACAGACACCACCACAACCAAGAAGCUUCUGGAUGUCGGAUAGUGAACCUUCCUGCUCCCGUUCUCCAGCUAAAAAGUUGGUUGAAACACCUCCACCAGCGAGGCCGUUCUGGGGAAUGGACAAACCACUGAGCCCCUCACGUUCUCCAGCUACAAAGGUUCCCAAAACACAGACACCACCACAACCAAGAAGCUUCUGGAUGCUGGAUGAGGAAGGAUCUCCAUCUCAACAGG